rnacentral:other from 2 species
AUUUCCCUGCCGUGCAGGUGAUGCAACGCAGUUCUUGAACCAACAGUCGUGAAAACGGGUGUUCCGGUGGCCGGCGACGUCAUGCCAUCGGCCCGCGAGGGCCGAUGGAGCACCGACCCGGUCGACAGGAGCGCCCACCUGGAUCGCCAGGUCUCAAGAACUAUCGUGCACACGGCAAUUCGGCGGGGAUUCU